UCAACCUAUCCAGACAUCGGGUCUCAUUGCUAGAUGGUUAUAUCAAUUAGUAUAAAAAAUUAUUUCUAUGCUAUCAGCUUAGGUUCGAACCUAUAGGGUCACAUACAUUAGAAGAAAUGGUCUGAUAUGAUAGCUGAAGAGUCCAAUUGGAUUGUCUCUGGUGAAGAGUCCCAUUGAGACUGAGACUCUGGAGGAGAGUCCCAUUGGAUUGGAACUCUAUUUUUAAUAAAAA
rnacentral:lncRNA from 1 species